rnacentral:rRNA from 1 species
CUACAGGCUUAACACAUGCAAGUCGCAGGGUAACAUGAGGAAAGCUUGCUUUCCUUGAUGACGACUGGCGCACGGGUGAGUAACGCGUAUCCAACCUUCCCAUAACUACGGGAUAACCCGUUGAAAGACGGCCUAAUACCGUAUGAUAUCGUUUGCUGACAUCAAAUAACGAUUAAAGGUUUAGCGGUUAUGGAUGGGGAUGCGUCUGAUUAGCUUGUUGGCGGGGUAACGGCCCACCAAGGCUACGAUCAGUAGGGGUUCUGAGAGGAAGGUCCCCCACAUUGGAACUGAGACACGGUCCAAACUCCUACGGGAGGCAGCAGUGAGGAAUAUUGGUCAAUGGGCGAGAGCCUGAACCAGCCAAGUAGCGUGAAGGAUGACGG